rnacentral:rRNA from 1 species
AUUGAACGCUGGCGGCAGGCCUAACACAUGAAAGUCGAACGAGUGGCGGACGGGUGAGCAAUGUCUGGGAAACUGCCCGAUGGAGGGGGAUAACUACUGGAAACGGUAGCUAAUACCGCAUACCAUCGGAUGUGCCCAGAUGGGAUUAUCUAGUAGGUGGGGUAAUGGCUCACCUAGGCGACGAUCCCUAGCUGGUCUGAGAGGAUGACCAGCCACACUGGAACUGAGACACGGUCCAGACUCCUACGGGAGGAAGCAGUGGGGAAUAUUGCACAAUGGACGAAAGCCUGAUUCAGCCAUGCCGCGUGUAUGAAGAAGGCCUUCGGGUUGUAAAGUACUUUCAGCGAGGAGGCGUUACUCGCAGAAUAAGCACCGGCUAACGCCGUGCCAGCAGCCGCGGUAAUAC